GAGACUGGGAUUGCAGCUGCUCAGUCACGCACUUACAUUCUAAACUGCCUUUUAGAAUCUCCAGGUCUACAUUCAAGGGGGAACUUCAUGUCACGGUGGCCACUUGACCUUCUGCGGAGAGCAGCUGGCCUUGGGAAACCAUUAUGGGAAUAUUCAGAAAAACUUAGCUCUCCGUUGGCCACAGGGAAAACUUAGAGGAGAAGAUCUGAGCUUUAGACACGAAAUGUUCCAGACUGGAGGAGCCAGCCUCCGUAUUAUGUCUAAACUUCGUCAGACGGUGUUCAUUUGCAUUUAUCUGAUGUUCCCUCUAGCUCAUGGGGAGAUGCUGUCAUUUUGCUAUUGUUUAUAGAUAAGUGGCACACACACUUCAGAGAUCUUAAUACCAAGAAGGCCCUUCCUUCAAAUGCCUGCUCCCAGGUUUGUCUUGCUGGUGCAGCUGCGGAAUGUCUGUCCCUCCGACAUUAAAUGCCGAUGCAGAAGGGUGAGUUCCCAGGCCAAGAUUAGCGUGAUGGGAUGGUGUCUUCUCAAGUCAAUAGGCCUUUGGAAAAAGCGUGUGGAUGACUGAAGAGAACGGCGUUGGAGGCCCACAAAGGACAACGUGAAGCCCAAUGCAGCCUUUUAUCUUCCCCACGAAACAGAUGAUCGUGCAAACUCUGCAAGUGGCCCCAGUGAGUCAACCUCCUGGAAACUGACAUGACUUCCUGGAUGGCUCGAAAAAGUAUAAUGGCUUUAAGCUCUGAGUUGAAACCCUUAAAUAAAGCACUAAAUUG